rnacentral:rRNA from 1 species
GACGAACGCUGGCGGCGUGCUUAACACAUGCAAGUCGAGCGGUAAGGCCCUUUCGGGGGUACACGAGCGGCGAACGGGUGAGUAACACGUGGGUGACCUGCCCUUAGCUCUGAGAUAAGCCUGGGAAACUGGGUCUAAUACCGGAUAUGACUCCAUAACGCAUGUUGUGGGGUGGAAAGCCUUGUGCGGCUAGGGAUGGGCCCGCGGCCUAUCAGCUUGUUGGUGGGGUGAUGGCCUACCAAGGCGACGACGGGUAGCCGGCCUGAGAGGGCGACCGGCCACACUGGGACUGAGACACGGCCCAGACUCCUACGGGAGGCAGCAGUGGGGAAUCUUACGCAAUGGGCGAAAGCCUGACGCAGCGACGCCGCGUGGGGA